UACGUGAGGGGCGAACGUUGUUCGGUGUCACUGGGCUUAAAGGGCGCGUAGGUGGCUGUGCAAGUAAGGUGUGAAAGCCCUCGGCUUACCCGGGGAAUUGCGCCUUAAACUGCAUGGCUUGAGGGUCUCAGGGGAUAGGGGAACUCCAGGUGUAGCGGUGAAAUGCGCAGAUAUCUGGGGGAAGGCCGGCGGCGAAGGCGGCAUCCUGGACCAACACUGACGCUGAGUGAGCGAAAGCCAGGGGAGCAAACGGG
rnacentral:rRNA from 1 species